GACGAACGCUGGCGGCGUGCCUAAUACAUGCAAGUCGAACGCAGUGGGGACGGGUGAGUAACCCGUGGGUAACCUCCCAUCAGAGGGGAUAACACUUGGAAACAGGUGCUAAACCGAUACUGAUGGAUGAACCCGCGGUGCAUUAGCUAGUUGGUGAGGUAACGGCUCACCAAGGCCACGAUGCAUCGCAGACCGGAGAGGGUGAUGGGCCACACUGGGACUGAGAAACGGCCCAGACUCCUACGGGAGGCAGCAGGAGGGAAUCUUAGGAAAGGGACGAAAGUCUGACCGAGCAACGCCGCGGGAGGGAAGAAGGUUUGCGUAUCGUAAAACUCUGUUGUUAGGGAAGCGGUAUCUAACCAGAAAGCCACGGCUAACUACGUGCCAGCAGCCGCGGUAAUAC
rnacentral:rRNA from 1 species